rnacentral:rRNA from 1 species
CAACCUGCCUUUCAGAGGGGGAUAACAGUUGGAAACGACUGCUAAUACCGCAUAACGCUGCGAUGGGGCAUCCCGAUGCAGCCAAAGGAGCAAUCCGCUGAAAGAUGGGCUCGCGGCCGAUUAGCUAGUUGGUGGGGCAACGGCCCACCAAGGCGACGAUCGGUAGCCGGACUGAGAGGUUGAUCGGCCACAUUGGGACUGAGACACGGCCCAGACUCCUACGGAAGGCAGCAG